rnacentral:rRNA from 1 species
CGGGUGAGUAACGCGUGAGGAACCUGCCUCAAAGAGGGGGACAACAGUUAGAAAUGACUGCUAAUACCGCAUAAGCGCACAGUACCGCAUGGUACAGUGUGAAAAACUCCGGUGGUGUGAGAUGGAUCCGCGUCUGAUUAGCCAGUUGGCGGGGUAACGGCCCACCAAAGCGACGAUCAGUAGCCGACCUGAGAGGGUGACCGGCCACAUUGGGACUGAGACACGGCCCAA